rnacentral:rRNA from 1 species
AGUAAAUUGGUUAAGUUAGAAAGGGCGCACGGUGGAUGCCUUGGCACUAGGAGCCGAAGAAGGACGGGACUAACACCGAUAUGCUUUGGGGAGCUGUACGUAAGCGUUGAUCCAGAGAUUUCCGAAUGGGGGAACCCACUAUCUUUAGUCGGAUAGUAUCCUUACGUGAAUACAUAGCGUAAGGAAGGCAGACCCAGGGAACUGAAACAUCUAAGUACCUGGAGGAAGAGAAAGAAAAAUCGAUUUCCUGAGUAGCGGCGAGCGAAACGGAAAGAGCCCAAACCAAGAAGCUUGCUUCUUGGGGUUGUAGGACACUCUAUACGGAGUUACAAAAGAAAGUUAUAAAUGAAGCGGUCUGGAAAGGCCCGCCAAAGACGGUAACAGCCCGGUAGUUGAAAUGGCUUUCCCUCCAG